rnacentral:rRNA from 1 species
UACGUAGGGUGCGAGCGUUGUCCGGAAUUAUUGGGCGUAAAGGGCUCGUAGGCGGUUUGUCGCGUCGGGAGUGAAAACUCAGGGCUUAACCCUGAGCCUGCUUCCGAUACGGGCAAGGACUGAGAGGUAUGCAGGGGAGAACGGAAUUCCUGGUGUAGCGGUGAAAUGCGCAGAAUAUCAGGAGGAACACCGGUGGCGAAGGCGGUUCUCCUGGGCAUUACCUGACGCUGAGGAGCGAAAGUGUGGGGAGGCGAACAGG